rnacentral:misc_RNA from 1 species
AAAGUCGUAACAAGGUAUCCGUAGGUGAACCUGCGGAUGGAUCAUUAACGUGAAUCUAGACUCUGUCUAGUAAUAACAUCGUUAUACCCUUGUGGUGAAUAUAGGAAAUUAGUGUGAUUGUGAAGUUGAUUAUUAUUGAUGAAAGGUCUAACGGCCGAUUGUUGAUCUGCGUCGUCACAAUCCUCUUUACCACUAUAACAAACAAUAUUACUACAUCUUUACUGAAGUAACCUUGUGGAAAGAUAUUCAUUUAUCAAUCACCAAGUAAAACAAUAAUAAUCUAAUACAACUGCUAGCAACGGAUCACUCGGCUCUC